GAUGAACGCUGGCGGCGUGCCUAAUACAUGCAAGUCGAGCGAAUGGAUUAAGAGCUUGCUCUUAUGAAGUUAGCGGCGGACGGGUGAGUAACACGUGGGUAACCUGCCCAUAAGACUGGGAUAACUCCGGGAAACCGGGGCUAAUACCGGAUAACAUUUUGAACCGCAUGGUUCGAAAUUGAAAGGCGGCUUCGGCUGUCACUUACGGAUGGACACGCGUCGCAUUAGCUAGUUGGUGAGGUAACGGCGCACCAAGGCAACGAUGCGUAGCCGACCUGAGAGGGUGAUCGGCCACACUGGGACUGAGACACGGCCCAGACUCCUACGGGAGGCAGCAGUAGGGAAUCUUCCGCAAUGGACGAAAGUCUGACGGAGCAACGCCGCGUGAGUGAUGAAGGCUUUCGGGUCGUAAAACUCUGUUGUUAGGGAAGAACAAGUGCUAGUUGAAUAAGCUGACACCUUGACGGUACCUAACCAGAAAGCCACGGCUAACUACGUGCCAGCAGCCGCAGUAA
rnacentral:rRNA from 1 species